GCAAUGGGAAGGAACUAAGCCAUGCGAGUCAUUGUAGCAAUACAAGGCAGACGGCUCAGUAACGCGUAGUCAAUCUACCCUAUGGACGGGAAUAACCUCGGGAAACUGAGAAUAAUGCCCGAUAGAACAUUAUACCUGGAACGGUUUAUGUUUCAAAUGAUUUAUCGCCGUAGGAUGGGACUGCGGCCUAUCAGUUUGUUGGUGAGGUAAUGGCCCACCAAGACUAUUACAGGUACGGGCUCUGAGAGGAGUAGCCCGGAGAUGGGUACUGAGACACGGACCCAGGCCCUAUGGGGCGCAGCAGGCGAGAAAACUUUGCAAUGUGCGAAAGCACGACAAGGUUAAUCCGAGUGGUUUCUGCUAAAGAAACCUUUUGCUAGUCCUAGAAACACUAGUGAAUAAGGGGUGGGCAAGUUCUGGUGUCAGCCGCCGCGGUAAAACCAGCACCUCAAGUGGUCAGGAUGAUUAUUGGGCCUAAAGCAUCCGUAGCUCGUUUUGUAAGUUUUCGGUUAAAUCCAUACGCUCAACGUAUGGGCUGCCGGGAAUACUGCAUAACUAGGAAGUGGGAGAGGUAGACGGUACUCGGUAGGAAGGGGUAAAAUCCUUUGAUCUAUUGAUGACCACCUGUGGCGAAGGCGGUCUACCAGAACACGUUCGACGGUGAGGGAUGAAAGCUGGGGGAGCAAACCGGAUUAGAUCCCGGGUAGUCCCAGCUGUAAACUAUGCAAACUCAGUGAUGCAUUGGCUUGUGGCCAAUGCAGUGCUGCAGGGAAGCCGUUAAGUUUGCCGCCUGGGAAGUACGUACGCAAGUAUGAAACUUAAAGGAAUUGGCGGGGGAGCACCACAAAGGGUGAAGCCUGCGGUUCAAUUGGAGUCAACGCCGGG
rnacentral:rRNA from 1 species